AUUGAACGCUGGCGGCAGGCUUAACACAUGCAAGUCGAACGAGUGGCGGACGGGUGCGUAAUGCUUGGGGAUCUGGCUUAUGGAGGGGGAUCACUACUGGAACCUGUAGCUAAGACGGCGUGCCAUGGGAUGAGCCCAAUGGGGAUUAGAUAGUUGGUGAGGUACAGGGUCACCAAGGCGACGAUCUCUAGCUGUGCUGAGAGGAUUACUAUCCACAAUGGGACAGAGACACGGCUCAGACUCCUACGGCAGGCACCAGUGGGGAAUAUUGCGCAAGGGGGGCAACCUGAGUCAGCCAUGCCCAGUGAAUGAAGAAGGCCUUCGGGUUAUAAAGUGCUUUCGGUAGUGAGGCGUUACCAACAGAAGAAGCACGGGCUAACUCCGGGCCAGCAGCCGCGGUAAUUC
rnacentral:rRNA from 1 species